rnacentral:rRNA from 1 species
GAUGAGCAUGCGUCCCAUUAGCUUGUUGGUAAGGUAACGGCUUACCAAGGCAACGAUGGGUAGGGGUCCUGAGAGGGAGAUCCCCCACACUGGUACUGAGACACGGACCAGACUCCUACGGGAGGCAGCAGUGAGGAAUAUUGGUCAAUGGGCGCAAGCCUGAACCAGCCAUGCCGCGUGCAGGAUGACGGUCCUAUGGAUUGUAAACUGCUUUUGUACAGGAAGAAACAUCUCUACGUGUAGAGACUUGACGGUACUGUAAGAAUAAGGAUCGGCUAACUCCGUGCCAGCAGCCGCGGUAAUACGGAGGAUCCAAGCGUUAUCCGGAAUCAUUGGGUUUAAAGGGUCCGUAGGCGGUUUUGUAAGUCAGUGGUGAAAGCCCAUCGCUCAACGGUGGAACGGCCAUUGAUACUGCAAGACUUGAAUUAUUAGGAAGUAACUAGAAUAUGUAGUGUAGCGGUGAAAUGCUUAGAGAUUACAUGGAAUACCAAUUGCGAAGGCAGGUUACUACUAAUUGAUUGACGCUGAUG